UACACUCCUACGGGAGGCAGCAGUGGGGAAUAUUGCACAAUGGGCGCAAGCCUGAUGCAGCCAUGCCGCGUGUAUCAAGAAGGCCUUCGGGUUGUAAAGUACUUUCAGCGGGGAGGAAGGCAAUACGGUUAAUAACCGUGUUGAUUGACGUUACCCGCAGAAGAAGCACCGGCUAACUCCGUGCCAGCAGCCGCGGUAAUACGGAGGGUGCAAGCGUUAAUCGGAAUUACUGGGCGUAAAGCGCACGCAGGCGGUCUGUCAAGUCGGAUGUGAAAUCCCCGGGCUCAACCUGGGAACUGCAUUCGAAACUGGCAGGCUUGAGUCUUGUAGAGGGGGGUAGAAUUCCAGGUGUAGCGGUGAAAUGCGUAGAGAUCUGGAGGAAUACCGGUGGCGAAGGCGGCCCCCUGGACAAAGACUGACGCUCAGGUGCGAAAGCGUGGGGAGCAAACAGGAUUAGAAACCCCUGUAGUCCCAU
rnacentral:rRNA from 1 species